AUUUGUCGACAAUAACAACACAUUGGCCGAAUACGGCAAAAGCGGGCGAUUGGUGACCAAUCCACCGACCAUUGAUUGGUAAUGGGGUAACAAACGCGCACAUAAUCGAUUAUCAUUGCGCUGUGUUUACUCCAAGUGGACGCCCAGACGUCGCGAUGUUGCCAAAAUGAAAGCGCAGCACGCGGCUCUCGAUUUUUGUAGGGUUUGACAUCUUUAGGAAGCAAACUGUCAUCAAAGUUAAGAAAUCCCCCAACGAUUUCGUCGUCGACCAUAAGUGUCAGUUUAUCACGAUGCCAGAUCAUUGUAUAGUUGUGAAAUUCAUCACCAUAAUGCUGUUUACUCAAAUGAUUCGAC